UGGGCAGGGGAUCCCUGUCCCCUGGUGGCCCCACAGCCCCCUCUCCCCUCACAGGGCACAGGAGCCCUUUUCCGGAUCCGCCUGGCCGGGGGCUCGGCCCCCUGCACCUACCUGUCCCCUCAGGAUCCCCAUCCUCUCUGCCACCCUGCCAUCGACAGGGCCCUGCAGCUGUGCGGGGCCGGGGGCCCUCCCCACGUGAGGCUGACGGUGGAGUGGGACAUGAGCACCAAAGAGCGGCUGUUUGGGAGCAUCCAGGAGGAGGUGGUGCAGGAUGCAGAGAGCGUGAGGCGGCAGCAGCAGGCGCACGGGCAGCAGCACAGCUGCACCCUGGAUGAAUGCUUCCAGCUCUACACCAAGGAGGAGCAGGUACGGGCAUCUCUGGCAAGCCCAUGCCCUGCCCACCCUGGCACAGGGGCUGCAGUGCUGGGGGUGGCUGNUGCACGUGUGAAGUGACAGGGUGACCAUAGCCACACCAGGCAGUGUCACCCUGUCCCUUGCUGAGAGCAGAGCAACCCCCUCAGACAGAAGAAGCACCUCUGCCACCCCUGCCCAGCUCAAGGACGUUGCUCAGGGACAUUUCUCAGAGAUGUUGCUCAGGGACAUUGCCCAGGGACAUUACACAAAGGACAUUUCUCAGGGACAUUGCCCAGGGACAUUUUUCAGGGAUAUUGCCCAGGGAUGUUGCCCAGGAAUAUUUCUCAGGGAUGUGGCUCAGGGAUCUUGUCCCACAAUGGCACAGGGGAGCUGCACAGGGGAGCCAGGGGUGAUGCCAGGUGUGUGUCAGGGCUGCAUCCAUGCCAGAGUGCCCUGCCAGGCCCACAGCAAUGCGUUGGCAGAGCCACACAGGUGCCAGUGCCACCCAAAGGCAGGACACAGCCCCUGGGGACACAGUGACCACUCCCUCUCUGCCACUCGUGCCUGCCCACCCCUCACAGGCAGGGCAGGCACGCAGGGACAGAGCCCUGACUCCUGCCAGGUCCCAUGGAAAGGACACUGGGACCCCCCCACCAGCCUCUCUGUCCUCUGUAGUCCCCAAUGCCAUCUGCACUUCCCAAGCACGCCCCUGGCUGUCCCCUCAGCAGCGCAGGGACAGCAGCACAGCUCCGGGGAUGCCACAUUCCUGGUGACACUGCCAACUCCCAGGGGACACUGCCAGCUUCCCAAUGCCUUGGCACCUCCCUGGGCUCAUCACCACCGUCUUGGGGACAGUUCCACCUUUCCAGGGGCAUCACCACCCUCCCGAGUACAUGGCUAUUGUCACCUUCCUGGGGACAACACCAACUUCCUGGGAACAGUUCUGCCUUUCUGGGGACAUUGUCACCUUCCUGGGGACAUCAGCAUCUUCCUGGGGACGGUUCUGCCUUUCCAGAGACACUGUCACCUUCCUGGGGAACACCGCCACCUUCCCGGACACAUUUUUGCCUUUCCAGUUCCACCUCUGCGGGGAGGGUGCCACCUCCCAGGGGACAUGCCCACCUUCCAGGGCACACUGCUGCCUCCUCAGGGCCACUGUCCCCGUGCCGGGGGUCUCUGCCCCCCUCCCGGGACCCUCCCCCGGGGUUACCUNGGCCGUGCCCGAGUCCAGCUUCUGAGCCAUGGAUGGGAGCACCACCCCAGCAGCUGUACAGCAGGUCCUGGACGGAUCGGGGAGCUCCCCAACAGGGGUGUCUCACCACAAGGGUGCCUGAACCAGGGAUCCCAAACCGCAAGGGUGUCUGAAGCAGGGAUCCCAAACCAGGGACAUCCCGACCUGGGGGCUCCCAGCCCAGGGACUUCUGAGCUGGGGGAAAACCAAACCAGGCUACCCUGACCCAGAGGCUCCCAAAUGGAAUCCUGACAUGGGGGGUCCUGCCUGACCCAGGGCACCCCGGGUCCCGAUCCGGAAGCAUUCCAAACAAGGACCAUCCCUAGCUGGGGGUUUCAGACCCGGGUUCAUCCCAAAGUGGUGACUCUGAACCCGGGAAUCUCCCAGCUCGGGGCCAUCCCAAACAGGGCAGGCGGGUGCAUGGUCCCCAGCUCUGCAGCACCAGAGUAUUUAUUGUACCAGGAGAGUUUUAUUCAGAGACGCUUUUUGUUUUCUAAAAGGCGACUAUUUGAGGGUGGGGGGGUCCCCCACACCUCGGUCUAUGCAAUCCCCGAUUCCUGCAGCCAGCUUUUGUACGGGGCUCUGCCCCACCGCCGGCGGUUUCUAUUAAAGACACGUGAAACAAACCCAGCGUCCAUCCCAGGGGAAAAGGACUCCGAGUCCCUUGGGGCUGGUCCUGGUCCUGCAGUGGGGAUCAGCCCGGGAUCAGGGGUUACUCCUGGCUGCAUCCUGCCAUGUGGGGUGGCUGUUUCUGGGGGAGGGGGACCCUGCCCCAUCCCAUGGCACCAGACCCGUAAAGUUCCCUAUAAAACACCAAACCACCAUUUUAUCCCCCAAACGCUCUCCCACCUCCCAGUCCUUCUCCCAAGGCGGGGGCAGGAAGGAAGGGCCAGCGCCGCCGGGCGGUUCUCAGCGAGUGGCACACGGAUUUAUUGGAUUUAUUGAUUGCUUUGGGAUGCUGGUGCCCCCCGGUGCCCACCUGGGGCGGGGGGCACGGCGCGAGCGGGGCGGGGGCAAAGCGCUGCCAUUUCCAUCCUCCCUCUCGCCCCGGCCGGGCGGGAAUGGCUCCACAUAAAACAAAUCUCUCUAUAGUUUCUCUCUCUCUAUACAAAUAUAGAAUAUAUAUAUAUAUCUCUGCCGAUAUAUAUAUACAGCUCUUCUCUCUCUGGAAAGGAUAAAGGUUAAUUUGUCUGUGCAUGCACGACCAAAGCCACCAAGCCCCGGG
ensembl:lncRNA